AAACACACUGGAAAUGAUGCGUGGUAGUCGGCGCUGGUGCAUUCGUCCGAGAUGAACUCGCUUGUGGAACAGAUGAGAGGUCAAAGGUGUCACCUGUAAAGGAAGCGGCCUUCUGCCGCUCGCAUGCCAUUGCCUUAUUACACACAUACGUAGUUGACUAGAUCGGAGGGGGGAGGUGAGACUCAGCUGGGAGCCAUUACAGGUGUUAUCAAAGCAGGCACAAAUAUCUAUACAUGAACAUACCCGCGGCCUGGUGGAUGAUGGGAGUUCUCCAGAGUGACACUCAGCCACCUCUGACCCUUUGUGUGUCCUUCCUAAUUAUCAUCAGCGCACACUUAACUGCGUCCACAAUCACCAUCAUCGCCCCCAAACUGACACAAAUCUCCAUUUUGCCUUUUUACCAGGCACUUUGAUGACUACGGUUCCUGUGGGGAGUUUGUGCGCACACAUGAUUUUUUUUUUAUGUCCUCAGAGUUACACCCAACACACUUCCCAUUUUCCACUGACCCAUGUGAUCUAGCAGCUGUCAAUCAUCCGGGCCAGGAGUUGGAUUACAGAGAGGAAAAUGUCCCUCAGCAGUUAAAAGGAAACACAAAUAUUUGGAUGCGCUGUUGUGGUGGAGACAGCUGCUCUACAAACAUCUGUGCAGGCCUGCGUUUGCCACUGUGAUUGUCAGCGUUAAGAGUUGUUACCAAGUUUGAGGCGCCAUCGACACCACCUUCUGCUUCCCAGGGGUCCGCCGUAGAACUUGCAGACAGACAAGGAUCCGGCUGUGACGGUCGUGAACUCCGUUUCUGGGAAGGAGAAGCUGUACACUCCCUCAGCGGGCAGCGACUGGAUCUGGGACAAGUCCAUCCGAGGGUCAUGCUUUAUGAUGUGCACGCGUGGUUUGUACUUAUGCAUGGACUGCAGAAUGAUCUGGAAUAAGAGAAGGUGAUAUAUUGCAUUAGCUCUAAUUUAAUCCAUAACCAAAACUAAAUUUUCCGUAAAUGCACAUGCAGAAUUGAGCAUGACCGUAUAUCUUGAAAUAGGGGAAAACAUCCAUCAUACUUUCCCUAAAAGUUGAAGUGAUGUAAUCAAAUAGCUUAACCAGUAGUCUAAACAUGUCAAAUGAGAAAAUGGAAAGCAGCAAAUAAGAAAAUUACAGAAAACAGAACAUUUUUAAAGUAGGCCCAAAAUAAAUAUGAUUUUACUGAACCUCAAAUUAGAACAUUUGCAUGUUUCGUGUUCUUCUUCUUACUAUUAUUAUUAUCAUUAUUAUUAUUUUUAAAUAUAUCAUAAGAAAGCAUAGGGUAUUUGCGGCUUAUUUAGGACACGUUUAAGUAUUGUAUUCAGUUCAGUUCAGUUCAGUUUCAGUUUAUUUCGAACAUGCAUACGAUACAAUGUAAUGCAUCACACAAUUCCAGUUGUUUCAUUACAGCACGUCUGAAAAGGAAUAGGACGAAGCAGAGCUUAUUUAAUCCUACCCCUUUUCAUACCAUAGCAAUUUUAUCCAAUUCCCUUGUUCUCUGUAACAGAACAGUGAACAAAUAAAUAAUAAAUAAAUAAUAUACCAUAGUAAGCAAACAAAUAUUAAAUACAUAAAUAAUAUUUGUCUCAAUAAAAGAAAAGGGUUCAAGAUGUUCAUCAUAAUUAUUGUUCUGUGUACUUUGUGAACACUUGUAGUUUGAACCGUCUCUUAAACUGAAUCAUAUUGGUGCUUUGUUUGAUUUAUUUGGUUAAUCCAUUCCAUAAUGUAAUUUCACAUACUGGUAUACUAAAGGUUUUAAGUGUUGUACGAGCAUACAAAUGUUUUAAAUUAGAUUUUUCUCUAAGGCUAUAUCUCUCCUCAACAUAAAUCGUUUGCAUGCAUGUAUAAUAUUAACAUCAAUUACACAUUACAUUGUAAAUUGGCAUGUUGUUUUAUUUAAAUAAAUGCUUUAUCAAUUUACCAACAUUUCCUUUAUUUCCUUUCUUUUAGUUUAUUUCGAACAUGAACACACUUACAGUAUAGUACAUCACAAUUUCAUAUAAUUUCACUUAUCAUCAUGUCUGAAAAGGAGUAGGAAGAAGCAAAGCUUAUUUAAUCCUACCCCUUUCCCACUUCAGAGCGUUUACACAUAUAUAGAAUCAUUUACUGACCUUUUUAUAUAAUAAAAUAACAUCUGUGAAUUAGUAUACACAACAGUUUUGUAAUAUGUAAUUAAUUAAUUCAGUCAUUAUUAACAUACUGAGAUGAAGAAUAUCUUACUUUCAAUAAGGUUGAAAGUAUUUCUCAUAAUUAUUCUUCUUGUAAGCACUAUUAUUUUGAACAACCUCUUAAACUGGAUCAUAUCAGUACAAUGUUUAACUUCUUUACUUAAUCCAUUCCAUAAUUUAAUUCCACAUACUGAUAUGCUAAAGGUUCUAAGUGUUGUACGUGCAUACAAAUGUUUGAAAUUAUUUUUUCCUCUAAUGUUAUAUUUCUCCUCUUUAGUUGAGAAGAAUUGUUGUACAUUUUUGGGUAGCAGGUUAUAGUUUGCUUUGUUUAUCAUUUUAGCUGUUUGCAAUUUUACCAAAUCACCGAACUUUAAUAUUUUUGACUCAAUAAAUAAAGGGUUUGUAUGUUCUCUGUAUCCAACAUUAUGUAGUAUUCUAACUGGUCUUUUUUUGUAAAACGGUUAACGAAUGUAGCGCACAUUUGUAGUUAUUUCCCCAUAUUUCUGCACAAUAACUCAGAUAUGGUAACACUAGCGAGCAGUAGAGAAAAAAUGACAUCAGACACUGUGGCACUUUACACAUUUUUGAUUCGAACAAAGAAAUUAGCAUCUUCAAAUGUAUUUUCUGAUUUUUUUUAAAUAUACAAUGAUUACUACUGAAUCACAAUCACAUAGAAACAUUUUCAAAGCAUUUUUAAAAUAAUUAACACAUUUCCAACCAUACUUGAAAGAAGAACAAAAUAUGUUUUCAGCAUUCAUUGUUUUUUCUAGAAGAAUUAUGAAUCUCAGCAUAAUUUGUAGGGUGAAUUUAAACUGCCUGCAUAUACUUCCAUGACUCAAUAUGCAUUUCUUUGUAGAGGAUUAGAUCCAACCAAACUGUCUUAGUCAUCCGUAUUUGAAAUAUGCAGCCAAUGGCAGCUAAAUGUUAAAUGUGGAUGUGCAAGAUUCAUACAAAAAUAUUGUUUUUUUUGCAGGAGUGGGACAUGAUUGACUUACAUGCCCCUUGUCGUCCAUCUCAUUGUUGGUGAGUUUCACUCGGUCAAAACUGAUGACUUGGCGCAUCCAAGUCUCUCCCGCGCACGGCGAGUCUGCGUGCACGUAGAGCCUCGGGGAGAUGCAGGAGUGGUCCGUGUUUCCUGCCACCAUCCACUGGGAGCUAUGGUACACAUACCUAUGGGAAUGUCAAUAAAUAAUCUUAAUAACAAAAUCGCAUAUAAGCCUAAAAAAAUCAAAUAAAAUAAAAAAUCUCACCUGUAACGUUUGGAAUCCACGGGCAUGACGUCCAUUGCGAUGUAAUACUGCUGGCGGGGGUCCAGGUUGCGCACUUUGACUCUCACCGAUGGAAACAUUCUCCUGGUGGUGUGAAGAAUGUAAAUGAUUAUCAACUAAUUAAAUGUGUUGUAUACAUACAACAACAUAGUAUACAAUGUUCCAUUUUGCAGCCGUGCAAGUGGUGGCGCCUGAGGGGCCCCACACUGUAUGGAGGGGACAUUACCACUCACGUGAUUUCAUGACGUGUUCUCUCGGUAAGGAAUUUCAUUAAAUAAGUGGUUACGGUAAUAACUUAUUUUUAAAAGACAAUGUACAUAUAUUAUGCCUAUAUAUUAAAAUGUUAUUCUCCUGCAGAUUAUAUUAACGUCCACUCAAUGCUUUUGCUGCAAGGUUUGUUUCAAGAUAAAGUCGGUUAAGAGUCGAAUAAAUCUAGAAUUAAAUCGAAUGACAAAGUUUCUUGUCAAGUCUCUUGACUGUUUUAAAUCAAUACAUAUGCACCUAAUUGCAUUAUUGCUUCUAUUAAUAUAUUUCACAUAAUGCUUGUAGGAGUUGAAGUAUUUUUUAAAUAAAAUAAAAGCAUGUUCAUAGAUUACAAUAUAAUAAAUUGUUGAUCUUUUUUAUAUGGUGAGUGUUUAUAACCACUAUGUAUGUAUUAAUACAAUAACAAUGUCUAUUACCUGACCGCUUCUAUGUUAGCUACCUCUCUUUGUUUAUGAUGUCUAUGUUCUGCUGGAUCUACUUUCUAUUUUUUGCUGCCUUUUUUUUUUUGUUUUUUUGCUGCAGCUGUUACAUAUACUGUAAUAUUGCACAUGGUAAUUGGGAUUUGUUAUAUAUUGUAUAUAUUAUGUACAAAUAUAAUAUAAUAUAAUAAUAUAUCAGUAUAUAUUAUAUACUGUACAUAUAAUACAUACAUAUUACAUAUAUGUUAUAUUUUAUACUACUGCCUAUAGUUUCUCUUGUUACAUUCUUAUUUUGACUGUUAUAUUUUUAUUCUUAUUGUUAUUUUUUAUUUUUUAUUGUUAUUGUUAUAUUUUCUAUUUUAUUUCCAUGUAUACCUCCAUUAUUUACUUUUUAAAUUGUUUUAAAUUCUAUCUCAAUUCUGUACACUGCUGCUGGAAUUUUAAUUUUCCUGAGGGAACUCUCCUGAAGGAAUCAAUAAAGUACUAUCUAUCUAUCUAUCUAUCUAUCUAUCUAUCUAUCUAUCUAUCUAUCUAUCUAUCUAUCUAUCUAUCUAUCUAUCUAUCUAUCUAUCUAUCUAUCUAUCUAUCUAUCUAUCUAUCUAUCUAUCUAUCUAUCUAUAUAUAUAUCUAUAUAUCUAUCUAUCUACUUUAUACAUGCAUUAUUCUUUCCAGCCUUACCCUUUCCAUCCUUUGAAACUGAGCUACUGUGUGGAACAAUUUCCCUUGUGGAUCAAUACAGUUUGUCUAAGUCUAAUAAUAAAUAAUACACUUUAUGCCCAAAAGUUUGCAUGGAUACUAUGUGAUGGAAGAGUGUGUAUUCAGAUUACCGUCCCGCUUUAGUGAUGAUCAUCUCGGUGCCGAUCUCGAAGAA